UACAGAGGUCUCAAGCGUUGUUCGGAUUCAUUGGGCGUAAAGGGUGCGUAGGUGGCGUCGUAAGUCGGGUGUGAAAUUUCGGAGCUUAACUCCGAAACUGCAUUCGAUACUGGCGUGCUUGAGGACUGGAGAGGAGACUGGAAUUUACGGUGUAGCAGUGAAAUGCGUAGAUAUCGUAAGGAAGACCAGUGGCGAAGGCGGGUCUCUGGACAGUUCCUGACACUGAGACACGAAGGCCAGGGGAGCAAACGGG
rnacentral:rRNA from 1 species